UGCGUGGUACAGUGAGCCGACUACAUCCGGCCCUGAUGUUGUGACGGCGAAACGUCGAAAGGGGUGCGCAUGCUUGUGGGGAGGUUAGGCCGGUUUAGGAGGGGUACUGAUUUGGGCUGACCUCUUCUCGCCACACACGGACUCACUCAGUCUGUAGCUACGGAUCCGGUCGGCAACGUCUAUCCGGCUGGGCACCCCCUUCGAGUUCAGUCCACCACAAACGCCUAUGUUGCACGAUUUUGCUGUGACCAAUUUGGUGACGGCUGCUCUACUCUAACGCCACGCGAACCAGCCGAGUCCAGCAGCUGCCUAGGUACGCCAAUGGGUUAGCGACAUUCAUUUGAAUAAACAACCGGAGACGACCACAGGGACAAGUCAUUACGAAAGGCUUACAGAGGCAGGGUCGUCCAAGCGAACAAAAGUGCGCUCCAAGCUCAGGACCGCUCAGAGAUCCUUACCAGGCGCUCCUCACAUACAUACACACACACGCCUUUUGUGUGCAACAUACGUAUAUCCACCCAUACCACAGAUUCUCAGCCUCUGAAGACCUAGGGCCACACUGAUUCUGCCAUGUCGCGGGUCGCCAACAAUUAGUAACAGUUCAUAACAAUUCGUUAAAACAAACUAUCAUAAACAAGCACAAAACAAAUAUUGCUCAAUAAUUCCCUUCAACAUUUUUUGGGGCAGUAUUAUAAAAAAGUCGCUGGGACCGUGU